rnacentral:rRNA from 1 species
UACGAAGGGGGCUAGCGUUGCUCGGAAUCACUGGGCGUAAAGCGCACGUAGGCGGACUCUUAAGUCGGUGGUGAAAUCCUGGAGCUCAACUCCAGAACUGCCUUCGAUACUGGGAGUCUCGAGUUCGGGAGAGGUGAGUGGAACUGCGAGUGUAGAGGUGAAAUUCGUAGAUAUUCGCAAGAACACCAGUGGCGAAGGCGGCUCACUGGCCCGAUACUGACGCUGAGGAGCGAAAGCCAGGGGAGCAAACGGG